GUGUAGCCCUGGUAUAGGUCAGAGGCCCCAUUGCCUAGAUCCAUAAACAGAGCCUUCUGCACCUUUUAUUUCUCAGGAUGUUCUGUUUGAAAACUUUACUAAAGUAGCAUGGGUAGAUACACGGUGGUAAUAGAAAAGCUACCCGGGGAGCCCACAGCUGGGACCUCAGCUGGCUUUCCCUUUUUUCUUUCAGUUGUGGGGAAAGACAGAAAGCAGUGGCAAAAAUGGGACCAGAGAGAGUAAAGGGGCUAUGCUGUCACUAAGUCACGCAGGGCCACUUCCAUGCCCAGCUGCGCUGGCCUGCACACUGCCAAUGCAGAGGCACCUGCUAGCCAGCCCAUGCAUGCAUGCCAGGGCCAACGUCAGGGCUGGGGCUCUUCUCAUUCUCCACUCCUUUCUCUAUUCUCUUGCCUUCUUUAACAAGAUGCUUGCAGCGCUGGCAUUUUAAUCAAGCAUGUCAAUAUAUCUCCAGGAUCUGCUCCUCUCAAAAGCUACCCUGGGAUUCUAUCUCCAAAAGAAACCAUACCUUCCUCCAUCUUCUGAGAUCCUCCAGUUGUCCCCCAAGGAGUCUCAGGACCUCUCCCCACACAGGCCUGAGAGCUAUUUGGACACUGAAAGUCCACAGCAACUUCCCCAGGAGGAGAACCCUGUGCCCUCGAGAGCUGCUCACUCAGGCUGCUCAUGUGGGUACAAAAGCUCUGCUAUCAUAUCUCCCAUACCACUCACUCAGCAGAGGCUGGAGAUGCUCCUCUGCCUGGGGUCUACACACCACCCCUCUCCAGAGCUCCCCAGGGAAAGCCUGCUAAAGGACCAGGCAGGGAGACAUGUCCAAGGCAGAGAGAGAGAAAGAGAAACAUAUAGAUAGACAGAUAUGAUGGGCAUCUGAUGACACUAACUCUUUGCUAGAAAGUGACCAACAAGAGUCUGGGAGCCGUGGUGAAUUCUGCCCUCAUGGGGCAACCGGAAGCUGUGGAAAUUCCCAGGGCCAGAACAAGGGCAGGAAGUUCUUGAUAGUCUGUGUCCUGGGGACUCAUUGCUACUUUAGCAUGGUUGGAAGAAAGGCUAGCCUCUCCUGAGGGAGAGGCCAUGCUGUGCCUGGGCCCAUGGCCAACGGUCAGUUCUGUUUUCCUAGAAUCCAUCAGAUUCUUUGAAAAUGUCUAGGUGAUUCCCAAGUUUAGCUGAGUCGGUACUGAAGCCUCAGCAGGAGGGUAGGAACAAAGGUCCCUGGUUACUGGGUCAGUUCUGGACCCCAGCCUGGGCAGCCCACUUCCUCCCAGUGGUAGCUCGGAAACCCACCUAUGGCCUGCUAAGACAUAACCGGAAGCUGGUUUCCUGGCUGUUCACCGGCCACCUCGCCGGGUGUCACAUGGUCAAGGAACACAAUCAAUUCCACCCAGAAUCCAUGGAAUGCAAUUAGAAAGGUGCAGCCAAUGCCAGAGACCAAGCAACCCAGCAGGGCCGGGCCACACACCCCCGCUCUCCAUCUCCUGCAGCCUGGAAGCCAGGUGGGAGAGACACCAGGGAGUCAGCCAGCCCAGCCUUGGCACCCCAAAUCUGCUUCCCACCAGCUCUGGACCACUGACAACAUGGGAGAAGUGGGUGGGUGGCCCAGGCCCUCACCCAAACAUUUCCCAGGGGCUUUCUCCAAGUUCCACCCACACCACUGAGGGUGCUGAACCGCACGCACCAUGAGUCACUCAGCAGGACCUAGGGAGCACCGAGCUGCCUACCAGAACCAUGGCCAAGGUGCCCGUCCAAAUCCUUGGAAGCUGUGAUUGCUGAGCUUCAUGGCAGUGAUUCAUCUGCAAGGGACAUUACCAGCGACUUCACUCUGGCAAGAUGUCAGCAUGGAGCAUCUUCCAGCUGCAGACAGAUCUGCUAAGGCCAUUCGGCAAACAAGCUGUUCUCUGAAAGAACUGAACGGAGGAGGCUUCAUCCCACAUGAGGCACAGGAACUGUGAGCUGGCCCCACACAGAGCUCUCCAGAAGCACACAGAGAUCGGCACCCAUCAAAGGACCCUGGAGCCCAGGAGCCCACCUUCCCUUUGCUGAGGAGAAGCUGCCCACACACAAGACCAAAGCCCAAAGGACGUAUUUUUGAGUGUGUAUAUGUGAGCGUGUAAGAUGCAGAACACACACACACACACACACCCCACACACACACCUCUAGAAUGUUGGUGACUUGGCCCAUCAUGCUUUAGGCAGACAGGACUGAGAAACAGAGGCUGUGGGCAGAUGUUUCCCUCUGCCUGCUUGGCUGCUGGCCACGAGUCCACUCGACUCCACUACCUUCCCACUCUGCAUCCCCCACAGUGAGACAGAGAGCUAGCUGCCCAUGCCUUGCUAGCCCCAGCCUGCAGGCCCCAACAAAGCCCAUUUUGCCCAAUUAAAAAGUUGUUUCACUCUAUAUGGGAGCGGGGGAAUGGGUUCCACACUGAGCUUCAAAAUCACAAGGAAUGUGGUCUCGGGGAGUCACAGAAGCUUCACAAGACGGGCAUGUUUCAUAAGGGGUGUCACACUCAGCUCUUCGUCACAUGUACCCUGCAAGGGAGGCAUGCCCAAGACAGAGAUGGGGCGUGUUCACCGAAAAGGUUAAAGGUGAGACAGUGGGCUACUCUCCAUCUAUUCCUAGGCCCUUCCUGACCCCCACUUUGCAAAGAGGUCCCCUGUAUAGCUUGAAGAAAUCAACUGCUAGGACCACCAGCACUCACAGGGAUGGCAGGAGAAAUGUGAGAACUUUGCAGGUGGGAUUUUUAAACAUCUUUUAAAACCUUUCUUGGCAUUGUCUUCAAGGGCCCCAAAUCAUUUAGCCCUAGGGAUGGCCCCCAAGAAGACCCAAAGGCCCCACUGCACAGACCCUUCCCCUCCAAUGAGACCCAGGAGAGGAACACUGGGGCUUAGAGAAGCCGUGUGACCCAGUGGGGCCUCCGAUCGAAGAAGUGGGCGCUAGCGGUCAGCGUAAAGGGAACGGGACAGAGCUUACAUGGGGC